GUCUACAGCCAUGCCACCUUGAAUGUGCCAGAUCUCAUCUGAUCUUGGAAGCUAAGCAGGUUCGGGCCUGGUUAGUACUUGGAUAGGAAUACCAGAUGCUGUAGGUG
rnacentral:rRNA from 1 species